rnacentral:rRNA from 1 species
GACGAACGCUGGCGGCGUGCUUAACACAUGCAAGUCGAACGGAAAGGCGCGGCUCUUGCUGGGUGCUCGAGUGGCGCGCGGGUGAGUAACACGUGAGUAACCUGCCCUUGACUGUGUGGUAACUUCAGGGAACUGGGGCUAAUACCGGGUAGGAGCUCCUGCUCCAUGGGGGGCGAUGGAAAGUUUCGGCGUUGGUGGAUGGACUCGCGGCUUAUCAGCUGGUUGGUGGGGUAGUGGCUUACCAAGGGUUUGACGGGUAGCCUGCCUGGGAGCGUGGACGGGGACCUGGGGCCUGCGGGACGGAGCAGUCGGGAAUGGGAGGCAGUGGGGGGGAACCUGGCACAGCGAGGCGGAGUGUGAUACGGCAGCGCUGCGUGCGUGAUGACGUCUUUCGGGUGGUAAACCGCUUUGGCCUGAGACGAAGCGUGAGUGACGGUACUGGAUAAAGAAGCACCGGCUAACUACGUG